UGGGGAAUUUUGGACAAUGGGCGAAAGCCUGAUCCAGCAAUGCCGCGUGUGUGAAGAAGGCCUUCGGGUUGUAAAGCACUUUUGUCCGGAAAGAAAUCCUUGGCUCUAAUACAGUCGGGGGAUGACGGUACCGGAAGAAUAAGCACCGGCUAACUACGUGCCAGCAGCCGCGGUAAUACGUAGGGUGCAAGCGUUAAUCGGAAUUACUGGGCGUAAAGCGUACGCAGGCGGUUUGCUAAGACCGAUGUGAAAUCCCCGGGCUCAACCUGGGAACUGCAUUGGUGACUGGCAGGCUAGAGUAUGGCAGAGGGGGGUAGAAUUCCACGUGUAGCAGUGAAAUGCGUAGAGAUGUGGAGGAAUACCGAUGGCGAAGGCAGCCCCCUGGGCCAAUACUGACGCUCAUGCACGAAAGCGUGGGGAGCAAACAGGAUUAGAUACCCUGGUAGUCCACGCCCUAAAACGAUGUCAACUAGUUGUUGGGGAUUCAUUUCCUUAGUAACGUAGCUAACGCGUGAAGUUGACCGCCUGGGGAGUACGGUCGCAAGAUUAAAACUUAAAUGAAUUGACGGGGUCAUAGCUGUUU
rnacentral:rRNA from 1 species